rnacentral:tRNA from 1 species
UUCUCCAUAGCUCAGUGGUUAGAUCGAGCGUUCAACCGGCACCUGGAAGGUCAUGGGUUCGAUUCCCGUUGGGGAGC